rnacentral:rRNA from 1 species
UACGUAGGGGGCGAGCGUUGUCCGGAUUUAUUGGGCGUAAAGAGCUCGUAGGCGGCUCGUUGCGUCGGCUGUGAAAACCCGCAGCUCAACUGUGGGCUUGCAGCCGAUACGGGCGGGCUGGGAUUCGGUAGGGGAGACUGGAAUUCCUGGUGUAGCGGUGAAAUGCGCAGAUAUCAGGAGGAACACCGGUGGCGAAGGCGGGUCACUGGGCCGCAACUGACGCUGAGGAGCGAAAGCAUGGGGAGCGAACAGG